rnacentral:rRNA from 1 species
AUGGAGAGUUUGAUCCUGGCUCAGGACGAACGCUGGCGGCGUGCUUAACACAUGCAAGUCGAACGGGAGGACAUGGGAAGCUUGCUUCCUAUGGACUCUAGUGGCAAACGGGUGAGUAACGCGUAAGCAACCUGCCCUCCGGAUGGGGACAACAGCUGGAAACGGCUGCUAAUACCGAAUACGUUUUCAUUGCCGCAUGGCAGUGGGAAGAAAGGUGGCCUCUGAAUAUGCUACCGCCGGGGGAGGGGCUUGCGUCUGAUUAGCUAGUUGGAGGGGUAACGGCCCACCAAGGCGACGAUCAGUAGCCGGUCUGAGAGGAUGAACGGCCACAUUGGAACUGAGACACGGUCCAGACUCCUACGGGAGGCAGCAGUGGGGAAUCUUCCGCAAUGGGCGAAAGCCUGACGGAGCAACGCCGCGUGAGCGAAGACGGCCUUCGGGUUGUAAAGCUCUGUUAUACGGGACGAACGGCUAGUGUGCCAAUACCACAUUAGAAUGACGGUACCGUAAGAGAAAGCCACGGCUAACUACGUGCCAGCAGCCGCGGUAAUACGUAGGUGGCAAGCGUUGUCCGGAAUUAUUGGGCGUAAAGGGCGCGCAGGCGGUUUCAUAAGUCUGUCUUAAAAGUGCGGGGCUUAACCCCGUGAGGGGACGGAAACUGUGAGACUGGAGUGUCGGAGAGGAAAGCGGAAUUCCUAGUGUAGCGGUGAAAUGCGUAGAUAUUAGGAGGAACACCAGUGGCGAAAGCGGCUUUCUGGACGACAACUGACGCUGAGGCGCGAAAGCCAGGGGAGCGAACGGGAUUAGAUACCCCGGUAGUCCUGGCCGUAAACGAUGGAUACUAGGUGUAGGGGGUAUCGACCCCUCCUGUGCCGGAGUUAACGCAAUAAGUAUCCCGCCUGGGGAGUACGGCCGCAAGGCUGAAACUCAAAGGAAUUGACGGGGGCCCGCACAAGCGGUGGAGUAUGUGGUUUAAUUCGACGCAACGCGAAGAACCUUACCAAGCCUUGACAUUGAGUGC